rnacentral:rRNA from 1 species
AGCGAACGCUGGCGGCAGGCUUAACACAUGCAAGUCGAGCGGGCACUUCGGUGUCAGCGGCAGACGGGUGAGUAACACGUGGGAACGUACCCUUCGGUUCGGAAUAACGCUGGGAAACUAGCGCUAAUACCGGAUACGCCCUUUUGGGGAAAGGUUUACUGACGAAGGAUCGGCCCGCGUCUGAUUAGCUAGUUGGUGAGGUAAUGGCCUAACAAGGCGACGAUCAGUAGCUGGUCUGAGAGGAUGAUCAGCCACACUGGGACUGAGACACGGCCCAGACUCCUACGGGAGGCAGCAGUGGGGAAUAUUGGACAAUGGGCGCAAGCCUGAUCCAGCCAUGCCGCGUGAGUGAUGAAGGCCUUAGGGUUGUAAAGCUCCUUUGUCCGGGCCGAUAAUGACGGUACCGGAAGAAUAAGCCCCGGCUAACUUCGUG